rnacentral:rRNA from 1 species
UGGGUAAUCUGCCGCGCAGAGGGGGAUAACGACUGGAAACGGUCGCUAACACCGCAUGGUACCCUGGACACGGGCGUGUCGGGGGUUAAAACUUUGGUGCUGCGCGAGGAGCCUGCGUCCGAUUAGCUAGUUGGUGAGGUAACGGCUCACCAAGGCAAUGAUCGGUAGCUGGUCUGAGAGGAUGAUCAGUCACGACGGGAACUGAGACACGGUCCCGACUCCGUACGGGAGGCAG